rnacentral:rRNA from 1 species
AAGCUCGUAGUUGAAUUUCGGGGUUUACCCAUUGGUCAGGCUUAAUUGUCUGUACUGGUGUGUGUCGAAUCUCUACCUUCUGAGGAACCUUCAUGCCAUUUAUUUGGUGUGAUGGGAAAUCAGGACUGUUACUUUGAAAAAAUUAGAGUGUUUAAAGCAGGCUAACGUCUGAAUACAUUAGCAUGGAAUAAUGAAAUAGGACGGCUUGGUUCUAUUUCGUUGGUUUCUAGGAUCACCGUAAUGAUUAAUAGGGAUAGUUGGG